rnacentral:rRNA from 1 species
CAGGCCUAACACAUGCAAGUCGAACGGUGGCCUUCGGGUCAUAGUGGCGCACGGGUGCGUAACGCGUGGGAAUCUGCCCCUUGGUUCGGAAUAACAGUUGGAAACGACUGCUAAUACCGGAUGACGACGUAAGUCCAAAGAUUUAUCGCCGAGGGAUGAGCCCGCGUAGGAUUAGCUAGUUGGUGUGGUAAAGGCGCACCAAGGCGACGAUCCUUAGCUGGUCUGAGAGGAUGAUCAGCCACACUGGGACUGAGACACGGCCCAGACUCCUACGGGAGGCAGCAGUGGGGAAUAUUGGACAAUGGGCGAAAGCCUGAUCCAGCAAUGCCGCGUGAGUGAUGAAGGCCUUAGGGUUGUAAAGCUCUUUUACCCGGGAUGAUAAUGACAGUACCGGGAGAAUAAGCUCCGGCUAACUCCGUGCCAGCAGCCGCGGUAAU